UUUCUGGAACUGCUAUUUGUAUAUUGCAUGAUAUUUUAUCAGGAAAAAAUAUAAAACAGAUCUAAUUUCAUGAAAAUGCUGUUGCCAUAAUGCUCAGGAGAACAGGGGGAAGAGAGAGAUUCAAGUCUUCCUAAUGUCUACCUUAUAUGCAGAGCCUUGGAAAGAUGGGCAAAUGCUCUGUGACAAGCCACCAGGGUAGACUGGUACUGAAAAGACCCUACUACACACAGGGGCUCUGUCCCUGGCUGGAAAGUUACAAGUCAGCCUACCUCUCUGUGAUCUGGUUUCCACACCUACUACUCUUUAUCCCAUGAGGAGCUUCUGGAAACUAAAAUAGGUACGUAAUCAAAACCAAAAGAAGACAUUGGUUCAAGGAUCCUCAAGAGCUCAGCAUCAUGUUUCUGUUGUUUCUUUUUGAAUAGACAAAAUUCUCAGUGUUCAGUAGCUACACACACACACACACACACACACACAAACACACACACCCCACACACAAAAGUAGCAUCUCCACAAUGUUGCAUGCAUCAGGAAAGCAAAUGUUUUUACCACAGGCUGGCUAUGCCUCAUCCUCUUAAACUAGCAUCUUGAGGUCUUUGCAGAAGCCAUUUUAUAGAUGCCUACACUCAUCCCAUUACUUGCAUUCUCAUCCUGAGGGUAUUUUAAGGAGUCAAAAUAAAGUUUACUUAGGCGUGUGUGAGAGACAGAAUGAUAGACCAAAAGAGAAGGCUAGGGCUUCGUAAUAUUUAGAUAAUGAUGAAACUGAAAUGGCUGAUGCAGAGUGCAGUAAUUAUAUAGGAUACUUUAUUAUUUGGGUUCACCUUUGCUCAGUAGUGAAUUAUAAGCACUCUACUAGGUGAGAGGUUUGGCUUCCAAAAUGAACAGCUGGCGCAGGAUGGAACUGUCAGACCAUGUCACAUGAUAAAUAAAAUAAUACAUAGAAACUUUAGGAUCUCCUAAUUGGAAGCUUCCUUUAGACAACAAAAGAUGCCAGGCUAUCUGCUGCCCCCUAACUGGUACCAUGAAGAACAGCACAUAACUUUUUAAGAAACAAAGUCUGAUUCAGGUACAAUUAGUUAGUGGCUGAGUCAACCUCCUAAGUUAUAGUUGUGAAUUUGGCCAUUUCCAUGAACCUGUUUGUUGCGAUUAAGGCAAAGUCAUCGGGUAGAGUCUGUUUUGUUUCUGUCUUUUCCUGAUGGAGAGGCACUCCUGAUUUGCAGCAGCUGCCCAGGUAGAAGAGUGUUGACCAAAGGACACAUCACCAGCACAGACUGUUAAUCAUGUGACUAGAGAAAACUCUCAUGGUGGCAUUCAAAUUUCCAUAUCCUUCUUCUAUGGAAAUUUCUGAGAGACCCAGAAAAGAAGCGUAACGACGAGGGAAAGUGAUUCCUGCAGACCUGAACAUUCCAGACUUACCAGGUGAUCCAGCUGUCUGUCAGCGGGAAGAGGCUGAGGCGCCCCCUUCUGGUGCAUCUGAAUAGUAAGAAACCCUGUGUAGAAAGAAACCCUGUAGCAAUUGGGCACCUUCUCCGUGAUCUGUCUGCUUCCAAUACCAAAAAUUGUUGCUUUUUAAAUGACAUCCAUCCUAAGCUUAAAAAAGACGCAUAUUAUUUGUAUAAAAUGUUGAAGACGCAGAACAAAAAAUGUAAAUCACAUGUAAUCAUCCCUUCCAGAAAUAAUCGUUAUUAAAAUUUCUGUGUAUGUGUAAAAAAAAAAAUUGCAAUCCUACUGUAAUAUAAUCCUGUAUACUGAUAUUUUUCACCUAUCACUGUAUGUUGAGCAUUUUCAAUAGUCAAAUUAUUUCUUGAAAAUAUUAAUGACUGGGGAGUAACCUUUCAAAUAGGUGUGUCUUUAUUUUUAAACCAGUCCACAAUUAUUGUAUAUUGAAGUCAUUUCCCAAAUUUUGUAAGUAUAAGUAUUGCAUCCAUCCUUAUAUGUAUUUAAAUGCAUCUCUUAUUAUUUCCUUGAGAUAAGUUCCUAGAAGUGGAAUCACUGGAUUUAAAAAUGUGGACAUAUUUAUGCCAGACGCGGUGGGUCAUGCCUGUAAUCCCAGCACUUUGGGAGACUGAAGCAGGUGGAUCACUUGAGGUCAGGAGUUCAAGACCAGCCUGGCCAACAUAGUGAAACCCCAUCUCUACUAAAAUUACAAAAAUUAGCCGGGUGUGGUAGUGCACGCCUGUAAUCCCAGCUACUCAGGAGGCUGAGGCAUAAGAAUCACUUGAACUCAGGAGGCGGAGGUUGCAGUGAGCCAAGAUGGCACCACUGCGCUCCAGUCUGGGCGACAGAGUAAGACUUCAUCUCAAAAAUAAAUAAAU
ensembl:lncRNA INHBA-AS1 INHBA antisense RNA 1